GUGCUGACUUCAGCAGCACAUACACUAAAAUUGAAAUGAUAUGGAGAUUAGCAUAGCCUCUGCGCAAGGAUGACACACAAAUUCGCGAAACAUUGCAGAUUUCU
ensembl:snRNA U6 U6 spliceosomal RNA